GAUGAACGCUGGCGGCGUGCCUAAUACAUGCAAGUCGAGCGAACAGACGAGGAGCUUGCUCCUCUGACGUUAGCGGCGGACGGGUGAGUAACUCGUGGAUAACCUACCUAUAAGACUGGGAUAACUUCGGGAAACCGGAGCUAAUACCGGAUAACAUGUUGAACCGCAUGGUUCAACAGUGAAAGACGGUCUUGCUGUCACUUAUAGAUGGAUCCGCGCCGCAUUAGCUAGUUGGUAAGGUAACGGCUUACCAAGGCAACGAUGCGUAGCCGACCUGAGAGGGUGAUCGGCCACACUGGAACUGAGACACGGUCCAGACUCCUACGGGAGGCAGCAGUAGGGAAUCUUCCGCAAUGGGCGAAAGCCUGACGGAGCAACGCCGCGUGAGUGAAGAAGGUCUUCGGAUCGUAAAACUCUGUUAUUAGGGAAGAACAAUUGUGUAAGUAACUAUGCACGUCUUGACGGUACCUAAUCAGAAAGCCACGGCUAACUACGUG
rnacentral:rRNA from 1 species